rnacentral:rRNA from 1 species
GCGAUGGUCGGAGAAGGUGCCGGGGUGAGUAGAAGGGGUAAAGGGUUAAUCGGAAGGACAUGGCGUGAAGGGUGCGGAGAUGGGUGUUGAAGUCUGUCGGGAAAGCGCUGGGCUUAACCUGGGAACUGCGAGGGGAACUGGGCGACUAGAGUUUGGUAGAGGGUAGCGGAAUUCCUGGUUGAGCAGUGAAAUGCGUAGAUAUCAGGAGGAACAUCCAUGGCGAAGGCAGCUACCUGGGCCAACACUGACACUGAGGCACGAAAGCGUGGGGAGCAAACAGGAUUAGAUACCCCGGUAGUC